UGAUGGUGAUGUGGACAAUCACAAAUCAUGUACUUGAACCUCUCCCAGGCUUGAUACAAAUUUUCACCAUCUUUCUAUCUGGAGCUUAAAAUUUCACCUUUUCAAUUU
rfam:Capsicum annuum cultivar Zunla-1 chromosome 2, whole genome shotgun sequence